AGCAGCCGCGGUAAUUCCAGCUCCAAUAGCGUAUAUUAAAGUUGUUGCAGUUAAAAGCUCGUAGUUGAAUUUCGGGAUUGGCGCAUCGGUCGUGCCUCACGGGGUAUGAACUGGUGCAGUCAAUUUCUCACCUUCUGGAGAACCGCGAUGUCCUUAAUUGGAUGCCGCGGGGAACCAGGACCUUUACUUUGAAAAAUUGAGUGUUUAAAGCAGGCAUUUUUGCUUGAAUACAUUAGCAUGGAAUAAUAAAAUAGGACGGCAUGGUUCUAUUUUGUUGGUUUCUAGGACCACCGUAAUGAUUAAUAGGGAUAGUUGGGGGCAUUAGUAUUCAAUUGUCAGAGGUGAAAUUCUUGGAUUUAUUGAAGACUAACUACUGCGAAAGCAUUUGCCAAGGAUGUUUUCAUUAAUCAAGAACGAAAGUUAGGGAUCGAAGACGAUCAGAUACCGUCGUAGUCUUAACCAUAAACUAUAGCCGACUAGGAAUCAGACGAUGUUAAUUUUUAAUGUACUCGUUUGGCAC
rnacentral:misc_RNA from 1 species